AUGGAGAGCCCCCGCCUGCGGCUGCUGCCCUCCUGGGCGCCGCCGCUGCUGAUGCUACUCUGCUGGGCACCCGCGCCCAGGAGGACGCCGAGCUGCAGCCGCGAGCCCUGGACAUCUACUCCGCCGUGGAGGAUGCCUCCACGAGAAGGAGCUGAUCGAAGCGCUGCAGGAAGUCUUGAAGAAGCUCAAGAGUAAACGUAUUCCCAUCUAUGAGAAGAAGUACGGCCAAGUCCCCAUGUGCGACGCCGGGGAACAGUGCGCGGUGCGCAAAGGCGCCAGGAUCGGGAAGCUGUGCGACUGUCCCCGAGGAACUUCCUGCAACUCCUUCCUCCUGAAGUGCUUAUGAAGGGGCGUCCAUCCUCCUCCAUACGUCCCCAGACCCCUGACUUUCCCCGCGAGAGGACCACACCUUCAUCCCUGGAAUUUGGCUUUAGCAACAGAUCAAGUUUGUGUUUCCCUCUGAGGGGAAGGGGCUCUUUUCCUGCUGUUUCAAGAAUAAAAGAACACAUUAGAUGUUGCUGUGUGAAGGAUAAUGCCUUGUAUGGUGUCGAUACGUGUGCAGAGUAUUCUUUUCUUAUUUUAUUUGUCUGACAAACUCUUGUGUACCUUUGUGUAAAGAAGGGAAACUUUGCUUUGAAAACUGUAUUUUUGUAUGUGGCAUGGUAGAAUGAAAAUUAGAUCUAGUUAAUCUUGGUAGAUGACAUCGCAACCUGAAAAAUAAAUCACCCUAAGCAACACACAUUGAAGCAUGUACAAAUUAUACAUAAUAAAGUGUUUUUAAUAAUCGC